rnacentral:rRNA from 1 species
UACGUAGGGUGCGAGCGUUGUCCGGAAUUAUUGGGCGUAAAGAGCUUGUAGGCGGUUUGUCGCGUCUGCUGCGAAAAUCCGGGGCUCAACCCCGGACUUGCAGUGGGUACGGGCAGACUAGAGUGUGGUAGGGGAGACUGGAAUUCCUGGUGUAGCGGUGGAAUGCGCAGAUAUCAGGAGGAACACCGAUGGCGAAGGCAGGUCUCUGGGCCACUACUGACGCUGAGAAGCGAAAGCAUGGGGAGCGAACAGG